CUACGGGAGGCAGCAGUGGGGAAUAUUGGACAAUGGGGGAAACCCUGAUCCAGCAAUGCCGCGUGUGUGAAGAAGGCCUGCGGGUUGUAAAGCACUUUCGGUUGGGAGGACAGCUUCUAGCACUAAUAUUGUUGGAAGUUGACGUUACCUUCAGAAGAAGCACCGGCUAACUCCGUGCCAGCAGCCGCGGUAAAUACGGAGGGUGCAAGCGUUAAUCGGAAUUACUGGGCGUAAAGCGCGCGUAGGCGGCUAGAUCAGUCGGGUGUGAAAGCCCCGGGCUUAACCUGGGAACUGCAUCCGAUACUGUCUAGCUUGAGUACAGGAGAGGAGAGUGGAAUUCCACAUGUAGCGGUGAAAUGCGUAGAUAUGUGGAGGAACACCAAUGGCGAAGGCAGCUCUCUGGCCUGAUACUGACGCUGAGGUGCGAAAGCGUGGGGAGCAAACAGGAUUAGAUACCCCAGUAGUC
rnacentral:rRNA from 1 species